UAUCAGUUUGAAACACCGGUUUCCGUACGAUCCCCAAAGUUAAGCAACGUUGAGUUUGGUCAGUAUGUAGUUGGUGAUCGCUUGGAAAUGCCAGCUGCUGUCGG